rnacentral:rRNA from 1 species
UACGAAGGUCCCAAGCGUUAUCCGGAUUUAUUGGGUUUAAAGGGUGCGUAGGCGGACUAUUAAGUCAGUGGUGAAAGCCCCCAGCCUAACUGGGGAACUGCCAUCGAUACUGAUGGUCUUGAGUACAUUUGAGGUGGGCGGAAUGUGUCAUGUAGCGGUGAAAUGCUUAGAUAUGACACAGAACACCGAUUGCGAAGGCAGCUCACUAAACUGUAACUGACGCUGAGGCACGAAAGCGUGGGGAGCAAACAGG